AUAACGAAUGUUUAUAUUAUAGACAAGAUGUUGCCCCUGGCUUCGUCCGCGUGGAUUAAGGUUUAUAAAAAUCCCGUGGGAACUUUUGCUCUCCCACAACAAAAGCAGCCUAUCUGUAGUAGCCCGUCCAUGGGACGCAAGGUAUGUACAAAUAUUUAAACAGAUGAUUCUUCAAAAAUCCCAUGGGAUCACUAUGAUUUAGGAAUUCAAUUCCCUACAGCGUUAAAGAGUUGGGUCCUUGAGUCCAACAAUAAAGUCUUUACUUGGUAGGUAGGUACCUCCAAUAUCAAUUUAUAACCAACAGUUUCUAAAUUCCAUCAGUUUUGGUGAUCAGGUCCCCUGCAGCAUCAGGAUUGAGGAGUUGGAAUCCAAAUUUUUUAUGAACCAAUG